UUGACGUUACCGACAGAAUAAGCACCGGCUAACUCUGUGCCAGCAGCCGCGGUAAUACAGAGGGUGCAAGCGUUAAUCGGAAUUACUGGGCGUAAAGCGCGCGUAGGUGGUUCGUUAAGUUGGAUGUGAAAUCCCCGGGCUCAACCUGGGAACUGCAUUCAAAACUGUCGAGCUAGAGUAUGGUAGAGGGUGGUGGAAUUUCCUGU
rnacentral:rRNA from 1 species